UACGUAGGUGACAAGCGUUGUCCGGAUUUACUGGGCGUAAAGAGCGCGCAGGCGGUCGUUCAAGUCGCGUGUGAAAGCCCCCGGCUCAACUGGGGAGGGUCACGCGAUACUGAUCGACUCGAAGGCAGGAGAGGGUAGUGGAAUUCCCGGUGUAGUGGUGAAAUGCGUAGAUAUCGGGAGGAACACCAGUGGCGAAGGCGACUACCUGGCCUGUUCUUGACGCUGAGGCGCGAAAGCUAGGGGAGCAACGGG
rnacentral:rRNA from 1 species